GUAGGGAAUCUUGCGCAAUGGGCGAAAGCCUGACGCAGCCAUGCCGCGUGAAUGAUGAAGGUCUUAGGAUUGUAAAAUUCUUUCACCGGGGACGAUAAUGACGGUACCCGGAGAAGAAGCUCCGGCUAACUUCGUGCCAGCAGCCGCGGUAAUACGAAGGGGGCUAGCGUUGCUCGGAAUUACUGGGCGUAAAGGGCGCGUAGGCGGACAGCUUAGUCAGAGGUGAAAGCCCAGGGCUCAACCUUGGAAUUGCCUUUGAUACUGGCUGUCUUGAGUUUGGGAGAGGUGAGUGGAACUCCGAGUGUAGAGGUGAAAUUCGUAGAUAUUCGGAAGAACACCAGUGGCGAAGGCGACUCACUGGCCCAAUACUGACGCUGAGGCGCGAAAGCGUGGGGAGCAAACAGGAUUAGAAACCCCGGUAGUCC
rnacentral:rRNA from 1 species